rnacentral:misc_RNA from 1 species
ACCUUUGUCUCCUUUAUGGACUCGGGAGAGUCCUAAAAGGUUGAACCCUAGCUGGCUCUUGAGCUGGCGCAGGGAGUCCCUCUUACCCAUUGUUUACCUUACCUCUGUUGCUUUGGCAAGGCCUCUGCCUAGGUGGUUCUAGGCUUAGGUCCUGCCAGAAGGUCCUUACUCGUGGAUAGUUUCUGUUAGUCUGAGUAUGAUAUAAUCAUUUA